UACGGAGGGAGCAAGCGUUGUUCGGAUUUACUGGGCGUAAAGGGCGUGUAGGUGGGUGGUUAAGUCAGAUGUGAAAUCCCUCAGCUCAACUGUGGAACUGCGGAGGAUACUGCUUGGCUUGAGUCCGGGAGAGGGUAGUGGAAUUCCCAGUGUAGCGGUGAAAUGCGUAGAUAUUGGGAGGAACACCGGUGGCGAAGGCGGCUACCUGGACCGGUACUGACGCUGAGGCGCGAAAGCUAGGGGAGCAAACGGG
rnacentral:rRNA from 1 species